UACAGAGGUCCCGAGCGUUGUUCGGAUUCACUGGGCGUAAAGGGUGCGUAGGUGGUGGGGUAAGUCUCGUGUGAAAGCUCGCAGCUUAACUGCGAAAAGUCACGGGAUACUAUUCGGCUAGAGGCUUGGAGGGGGGACUGGAAUGACUUGGUGUAGCAGUGAAAUGCGUAGAUAUCAAGUGGAACACCAGUGGCGAAAGGCGAGUCCCUGGGACAAGACCUGACACUGAGGCACGAAAGCCAGGGGGAGCAAACAGG
rnacentral:rRNA from 1 species